rnacentral:rRNA from 1 species
GACGAACGCUGGCGGCGUGCUUAACACAUGCAAUUCGAACGCGAAACCGGCUUCGGUGGGGGUGGAUGGGCGACGGGUUGAGUAACACUUGGGCAACCUGCCCCCGGCUUUGGGAUACCUCCAAGAAAUUGGGGCUAAUACCGGUUUUGACCGCUGGCCGCAUGUUCUGUGGUGGGAAGGGGUUUCCGGCUGGGGAUGGGCCCGCGGCCUAUCAGCUUGUUGGGGGGGUAGUGGCCUACCAAGGCGACGACGGGUAGCCGGCCUGAGAGGGUGACCGGCCACACUGGGACUGAGACACGGCCCAGACUCCUACGGGAGGCAGCAGUGGGGAAUAUUGCGCAAUGGGCGGAAGCCUGACGCAGCGACGCCGCGUGGGGGAUGACGGCCUUCGGGUUGUAAACCUCUUUCAGCAGGGACGAAGCGCAAGUGACGGUACCUGCAGAAGAAGCACCGGCCAACUACGUG